GGGGGCGUACUGGUUUCGACAGGGGUAGUUAUGGUAUGGGUAGCGAGCCGGGGUCCCAUCAGCCCGUAAUACGGUGGAACUAAAGUAAACGCAAACGAAGAUUACGCUUUAGCAGCUUAAUGCUAACGUCUUACCUACGCACUCCCGCGGCCUAGGAUAAGGCGUCACUUAGCGGGAUACCUGGGGCCCAAUUCUCGGAGGGCCGACUGGGAACCUUUAUCGAGAUAGUACCCGGGCAGCCUGUCUGUGGGCGGCAAGGGCGCGAAACUCAAAUCACCGACUGCGCUCGGAGAAACCCAUGCAGUAAUACCUUUGGACAGGAGUUCGAUUCUCCUCGCCUCCACCA
rnacentral:tmRNA from 1 species